GAACGCUCGUGAUAUUUGGCUAUUUGUUGUUGGCCGUAUCGUCAUGAGGAUUUGAGGACAGAGAUAAGUUGAAGACAUUGUCUGAGAAAAAAAGCAAUACUUGUUAUUGUCUUAGACAGAGAAAUUAAUACUAUCCUUUUAUUUCUUUAUUAGAUUUCUUCAUUUAAUAUAUAAUAUAAAAUAAUUAAAGUCUCCUGCUUUUAAACGCGAACGAUUGCCAAAAAAUGCAAGGAACGAAGGAGUUGGUGUGGGUGUAACAAAUUUAAGGCUCACACACUACGCAAUAAGGUGAAAAAAUAUUGUGGACAAUUUUCGAAAAACUAUUUGGCAUUGCCAUUACUUUAUGGUCUUAUGGGAAGAAACAUAAUAGAGUUUGGCCACAGUACCUAUAUCUUUGGAAACCGCAUUACCAAACACUACUUGUACUCAUCUGGACAGGAGAUAGUAGGUCAUUACCGUUGCGAAUGAGGGAUAAAUGAAUCAAAUCUUGCCGUGGGCACCAUAAACAAGACUUACACUCGUGUACAGUGGAGACUUAAACAUCAUAAAUAUAAUGUCUACUUGAUUCAAGUACUGUGAAUUUUCCAUACAUUUUGAGUACGGGAGAAAAACCAGGGGCAGGAGAAUCUCGUUAGUCAGAAAAUCCAAAAUGUGUUAUGUCAGAUGAUAACUAUGAUAACCGUGCACUUUGGGAGAUUAACUGAAUUUAAAAAACAUACUACCCAGCUUUUUAGUGAAGAACUUCAUGUACUACAAUAUCCUUGAAACAUCAUUUUUAGUUGGUUGAUUAAAUCUUGCAAAGUAAUUUUGACAUUGCAAGACUUUUACGACAACUGCAAAUAUUAACAAAAUUUUAUCGCAGCUAUCACCAGA